ensembl:processed_transcript uncharacterized LOC110297540
UACUGAAUAGUAAUGAGAAGUUAGGUUGAAAGGACAGUGCCACAAUGAUGACAUCAUAUUUGCUACUCUUGACUGUUGGGAUGACGAUAGCUUUAAACCACCAUGAUUAUAACUGAGGCACACAGAAUAAUGAUUUGGGGGCUACUUACAGAGUAAGCAGUAUUUACAUAAAGACUUUCCCCCCCAGGACUCAACAGGAAGCUGGAUAACAGAAAGAGAGCAAUGUAAGCAGUUUUUUGUGUGCAUGUGGUCCCAUUACAAGGAAUACUCAAUGGCAAGUGAGCACUAAAGAUCCCUCAACCCACACGUUGAAUGUAGAGUUCCCUGAAAGCAAUUGUAGAGGAGUGGGUGGGAGAUCUGAAGUCAGGGCAUUGCUUCUUCUAGGUAUCUGAGGAGGAUGGUUUUUGAUAUCUGUGGGAGCUAGUGGUCCAACACAGGGUUUAUAAUUGUCAUUUAGGUCACAUUUGGUGGACUCUGGUUCCCCCAUCUUAAGUGCUGAGUCAGCGGCCUAACAGGGCAGCUUUAACUGUUUGUUUGUUGUAGGUGCUAGAAUAGAAGACCAGAAAAUGAAAGAUAUGAAAAAAAGGUGGAGUUUAAGGCUGGAUAUACAGCUUGAAAAGUAAGUAUUGAAAAACACUUGAAUCUAGGUCAGUGC